rnacentral:rRNA from 1 species
UGCUGGAGGUAUCAGAAGUGCGAAUGCUGACAUAAGUAACGAUAAAGCGGGUGAAAAGCCCGCUCGCCGGAAGACCAAGGGUUCCUGUCCAACGUUAAUCGGGGCAGGGUGAGUCGACCCCUAAGGCGAGGCCGAAAGGCGUAGUCGAUGGGAAACGGGUUAAUAUUCCCGUACUUGGUGUUACUGCGAAGGGGGGACGGAGAAGGCUAUGUUGGCCGGGCGACGGUUGUCCCGGUUUAAGCGUGUAGGUGUGUGUUCCAGGUAAAUCCGGUUCACUUUAACACUGAGGCGUGACGACGAGGCACUACGGUGCUGAAGCAACAAAUGCCCUGCUUCCAGGAAAAGCCUCUAAGCAUCAGGUAACAUCAAAUCGUACCCCAAACCGACACAGGUGGUCAGGUAGAGAAUACCAAGGCGCUUGAGAGAACUCGGGUGAAGGAACUAGGCAAAAUGGUGCCGUAACUUCGGGAGAAGGCACGCUGACAUGUAGGUGAAGUGAUUUACUCACGGAGCUGAAGUCAGUCGAAGAUACCAGCUGGCUGCAACUGUUUAUUAAAAACACAGCACUGUGCAAACACGAAAGUGGACGUAUACGGUGUGACGCCUGCCCGGUGCCGGAAGGUUAAUUGAUGGGGUCAGCGCAAGCGAAGCUCCUGAUCGAAGCCCCGGUAAACGGCGGCCGUAACUAUAACGGUCCUAAGGUAGCGAAAUUCCUUGUCGGGUAAGUUCCGACCUGCACGAAUGGCGUAAUGAUGGCCAGGCUGUCUCCACCCGAGACUCAGUGAAAUUGAACUCGCUGUGAAGAUGCAGUGUACCCGCGGCAAGACGGAAAGACCCCGUGAACCUUUACUAUAGCUUGACACUGAACAUUGAGCCUUGAUGUGUAGGAUAGGUGGGAGGCUUUGAAGUGUGGACGCCAGUCUGCAUGGAGCCGACCUUGAAAUACCACCCUUUAAUGUUUGAUGUUCUAACGUGGACCCGUAAUCCGGGUUGCGGACAGUGUCUGGUGGGUAGUUUGACUGGGGCGGUCUCCUCCUAAAGAGUAACGGAGGAGCACGAAGGUUGGCUAAUCCUGGUCGGACAUCAGGAGGUUAGUGCAAUGGCAUAAGCCAGCUUGACUGCGAGCGUGACGGCGCGAGCAGGUGCGAAAGCAGGUCAUAGUGAUCCGGUGGUUCUGAAUGGAAGGGCCAUCGCUCAACGGAUAAAAGGUACUCCGGGGAUAACAGGCUGAUACCGCCCAAGAGUUCAUAUCGACGGCGGUGUUUGGCACCUCGAUGUCGGCUCAUCACAUCCUGGGGCUGAAGUAGGUCCCAAGGGUAUGGCUGUUCGCCAUUUAAAGUGGUACGCGAGCUGGGUUUAGAACGUCGUGAGACAGUUCGGUCCCUAUCUGCCGUGGGCGCUGGAGAACUGAGGGGGGCUGCUCCUAGUACGAGAGGACCGGAGUGGACGCAUCACUGGUGUUCGGGUUGUCAUGCCAAUGGCACUGCCCGGUAGCUAAAUGCGGAAGAGAUAAGUGCUGAAAGCAUCUAAGCACGAAACUUGCCCCGAGAUGAGUUCUCCCUGAGACUUAGAGUCUCCUGAAGGAACGUUGAAGACGACGACGUUGAUAGGCCGGGUGUGUAAGCGCAGCGAUGCGUUGAGCUAACCGGUACUAAUGAACCGUGAGGCUUAACCUUACAACGCCGAAG